rnacentral:rRNA from 1 species
GACGUAGGGCGCGAGCGUUGUCCGGAUUUAUUGGGCGUAAAGAGCUCGUAGGCGGCUUGUCGCGUCGUCCGUGAAAACCAGGGGCUCAACCCCUGGCUUGCGGUCGAUACGGGCAGGCUAGAGUUCGGUAGGGGAGACUGGAAUUCCUGGUGUAGCGGUGAAAUGCGCAGAUAUCAGGAGGAACACCGGUGGCGAAGGCGGGUCUCUGGGCCGAUAUUGACGCUGAGGAGCGAAAGCGUGGGGAGCGAACAGG